CGGAGUGAGAGCGUACACAGGUGCUGCAUGGCUGUCGUCAGCUCGUGUCGUGAGAUGUUGGGUUAAGUCCCGCAACGAGCGCAACCCUGCAUUCAGUUGCCAUCGGUAAGGCCGGGCACUCUGGAUGGACUGCCGGCGACAAGCCGGAGGAAGGUGGGGACGACGUCAAGUCAUCAUGGCCCUUAUGUCCAGGGCGACACACGUGCUACAAUGGCCGGCACAACGGGAAGCGAAGGGGCGACCCUGAGCGGAUCCCACAAAAGCCGGUCUCAGUUCGGAUUGCAGUCUGCAACUCGACUGCAUGAAGUUGGAAUCGCUAGUAAUCGUGGAUCAGCCAAGCCGCGGUGAAUACGUUCCCGGGCCUU
rnacentral:rRNA from 1 species